GAGGACGAAUCAGAGGACGAAGACGAGGAGGAGGAAAACGGAGAGGAAGAAAAUGGAGAAGAAGAGAACGGAAACGCCGAAGAAAGCGCGGAAAAAGAGAACGCAGACCAGGAAAACGCGCAGAACCAACGGAAAGCCGGUAGCAUCCGCAAGAUAUUCGAUAACCUCAGCACCGUCGAGGAAGUGUCUGAAGAGUCCUCCGAAAACGGGCCGUUUUCGUCUCCCCCUAAGCAGGAAAUCAGUUAUCCCCCGGUUCCAUUAUACCCCCUCAAUAUCUAGCCGCUCCAAACCAUUUGAGACCCCCUCCACCACCGCAGAGGAUAGACCCCUCGGUUUUCCCUAACCAACGACGAACCCAUUCCUCCAGCCGGUGGCUCCACUGUGUCCCUGCUGUCGACUCCACGGUGGACCGUCCGAUCCAAGGGAUUCCGAUCAAGUCCAUCCGCAGAAUGGACCCGUCCGAGUCGAGGGUCCAACGCUGAGGACUGGACCCGAUGUUGGAGUUUACUCGGAUGGUUCUCAGACUGAUUGCCUGGAUAACUGCACGAGUUUGGAUCAUCGGCUGCACCCCUUGCAGCCGAGUUAUAGUCAUUUUCCAUUGCCUUGUGAUGCAAUUAACGGAGUCAUCCAGGAGGUCAAAUAUUCCACGCUGCCUACCCGGAGUCAAACUCCUAACACUCAGGUGCAAGGUGAAAUUGUGACGACCAUCUUGACGCGACGGCAAUCAUUUCAAGCAAAAGUGGAUCCACAAACGGGAGCAGGAGUCACAGAAGUGAGACACUAUGACGCAAAUUCAUUCCAAUGCACACCCUUCUCCGAGUCAGAAAGCACACAAUUCCUCCGUCUGAACUCGGUUCAGCCAUUCACUCUCACUUUCCAGACACAGCAGUUUCCUGAAAUCACGGUUCAAGAGGUGAUCGACGAGCUGCUGGGUCAGUUUUCGCCGGAGCUGCAGUCGUCAUUGAAAGGCGUGAGGAUGGUGAACGGAAGUUGUUUCGUGAGUUUGGGGCGCCAGGCGGACUUGGACCGGGUCCUCUCGUCAGGCGUCUCGAUCAAGGGCAAGACUGUGGAGCUGAGCGAUGCAUCCAUCGGCACCAGCGUCAUUUGUUUAUCGGGGGUCCCCCAUCACAUUCCAGACCAGACAGUCGAUAAAGUCUUGUCGAAAUACGGAUGUCUAGUUGGCCAGGUGGAGCGGCGACUUUACAAAGGCGUGGACAUCGGUGAGCGCUUCGCUCGGCUCCGGGCGCGGCUGGCCGUCCCGCGGUUCCUGUCCAUCUCCGGGCACACCGUCAAAAUCCGAGUCCUCCACGACGACGAGGUCAACAACCUGAGCAUAUCCCGCAGGAGAUCCUUCCGCUCCCAACUCAACAUCAGACUCACGCUCCCGACGUCGGACAACACGACCGACUCCUCCACCAACGUCAACGACUCCCAGCCGUCGCUCUCCGACAGAACCGUCCCGCAAAUCCACCUCACACCCCCGAUCCCACCCUUACCGGGCGAGGCAGCGGAGAAGCCCGUCAUCUCCCCUCCGUUCGGUCACUACAACCCCUUCUGCGACGUCACGCAGAACUUCGCCCCCUCGACCGAGAGUCUAGAGAACAAGACCAACUCCUCAAGAAACACUCACCAUUCCCUCCCCGACUUCGUAGCGGUGUCGUCCUCGGACCAGCACUUCUUUUACCCCGCCUCCAGUGGGGUCGUGUCCGCACCCGGGACUCUAACCGGCAAGACGAAGGAGCCAGACCUGAAAACGGGUCAGUCGAAUUGCUUCCAGUUCCCGACGGUGGCCGGGACUUCGGAAACGGGGAACCAAAGCCCUCCGAGCAGCGUGGACAAGAAGACUUGCAGCUCGGACAAGGACUUGGACUCGGAGAAGGAGAAGAAGGGCGAGAAAGGGAAGAAGAAGGGGAAGAAAGGCAAGCUUGCAAAACAGUCCAAGUUGGCGGAGAGGAAGUCAGGGCCGCAAGUUAGCACGGAGUGCUCGCAGAGCUCUUCCUCUGGCCAGGACUCGCCGAGCAAGAACCGGCGGCAGCUCUCGGUGAAUUUCAAGAGGGACGGGGUGCCGGGCGGUGUUGGGGUUCCACUCCGGGGACACUCGCCGAUCUUCCGGGCGGCGUCGUUCGAACGCCCCAGGGUGGGCCUCGAGCGGGACACCGCCGCGGAUAUGGGCGGCAAUCUCAGUGAGUUCGAGCGGAGUAACAGCGAGACGAGCAGUCGCUUCGGCAGCUCGAACGCGCCAGGAAGAUGAGCUCGACCGGUCGAGAGAAGGCCAAAGUCCCUUGGUGUGGCUGUUGGGGUAACGGGUGCUGCUGACCACCCUUUAUUUCUCUACUUUCUUAACGGAAAUGCAUGAGUUUAUUGGACUCUUUCAGUCGCAGAGUUAAUUUUUGUGAGUAAUGAGAGAGAAAAGACAAUUCUGGGACCAAGCACGGUGGCACAGCGUCGACUUCAGGUCAUACGACUGCUCGGGGUACUGAUAAGGAAUUUUUUGGAAAUUUUGUCAAUCAAAGCAACGUUUUAUGAAAAUCCGGCACAAUUGGAAACGCAUGGGGAAGAUGGAAAAGUAGAGGAAAUACAGUGCACCUUCAUUUAGCAGGAUGUCGAUACGGCUCAAGUGUAAAAAUUCAUGUACUUCUGAUUGCGAUGUUGCAAAGUUCCGCUCGUCCUCUACAUAUUCUUGGAAGGAAACUUUAUAAGCAGAAGUCUCUCUUUAACUUCAACUUCUCUGUAAAUUUUCCUCACUCAAUGGUAAAUUUCCAAAAUAUAUCUAUUUUGGUUAGUUUUCUUUAAGGAAAACAUGAGUCAUAAUCGGAGAUAUUUACGACACUGGUAAAAAAAACACAUUGGAUCUAGAGUCCAGACUCUUAAAAACAUUGACAAGAAAAAGGACUCUUGAUUCAAUCAGAUUUAAGCUUAAACCAAGAACCAAGCAUCUUAAUUUGAGCGGAUUUCCUUUUGAUUUAAGCUUAAAUCUGAUUGAAUCAAGAGUCCUUUUCUCGUCAAUGUUUUCAAGAGUCCGGACUCGAGACCCAAUGUGUUUUUUUACCAGUGGUGUCUUCAUUGAGGAAGGAUAACGCAUGCGAACGUAACCGGCGCGGUUUGACACUAAGCAGGGCCGGAUUAAGGGGGUGGCCACAUGGGCCGCAGCCCAUGGCGGCAAAUUUAGGGGGCGGCAAAUUUUGCAAUUUUUAUAAAUGUAGGUAUGAAAAAAAUCGGAUUCAGAAAAACAAAUUAUCAAUGAGAAAAGGGUACAAAAUCUCUCUUUCCUGAGAGAAUAGUAAUUUCUAAUUUUGUCGUUUUUCGGUGAUACAAGAGACAGCAUCUUUAAUUAGUCGAGUCAAGAGAGAGACUAAACACGCAAUUUGUCCUGGAGCUCAGCGCAGAGAGGAAUGAUGACGAUGAAAAGGCCAAGCCUCGGCGCGGCGGUCGGCAUGUAACACAUGUUGGCGCCUACAAGACUGCAUGAAUACUUCACCCAUUGCGCCAAACACAGUGCGGUCAGGAGCAGUUGGCGUGAAACGCAUAACGCCUACAAGACUGCAGGAAUACUUCACGCAUUGCGCCAAAUACAGUGCGAUCAGCGCGGCGCAGCGGCGGAAGUUAAAAUUAUUAAACGAAAUUUAUGUUCGUUCUUUCAUAAUUUUUUGGUUCAUUUCUUAUGAAUGGAGGACCUUGUCCACACAAUGAUAGGUUUAUGGAACUUAACUUUUGCUAGUAGUGUUGACAGGGCUUUCGCAAAAAAUGUAUCCAACACGAGUAGGUAAACGCGUCUUAAGCACCCUCCCCCUCCGGCACGUUCACUUGAUGUUUUUAUUCAUGUUUCAAAACGAAUGAGAAAGGGGCGGCAAAAUACAGGCGGCCCAUGGGCGGCAAGUAGGUAAAUCCGGCCCUGACACUAAGUGCUUCACUUUGAUCGUGAAAAAGCCAAUUCAAUUUAAAAUUUCAAUUGUUUUUCAAUGUCAACGAUGAAAAUGGAAAAAUGCGUACCUCGGUUGUGUUGAGGAGACCGAAACAACAUCAUGGAUUGAAAUAUUCACAGAAUUUUCUUGCUAUAGAGAAAACAAAUCACCGAAGUUUUCAAGGAAUGACGCACAGUAGGUAGUUUUCCACGCAGAAAAUAAAGUAUGACGAGAAAUCUGCAACAUCGCAAAUUUAGAUACGCACUCCUGCUGUAUCACCAUCGACACGAACGUCUAUCCAAUAAACUCGAAAAUGGUGGACCAUAAUAAUUGAAGGGCUUGGAGGACAAGGCGCAUAAGUACAGCUUUUUAAAAAAUUGAAAUAUUAAUGAUUUCAAGUAAAACUAGUCUAAAUGCAUAUUCUAUGAAAAAUUCGCUCCCAAAUUCUAAUUUUUAAGCAUCAAAAAGUCAGUUUGAACUUUCUUUCCCCCACAAGGAUUCAUGAAAUUUCGAACUUCGAACACGGAUUCCUCGAAAUAGCAAAAACUGCACUAUAUAUGCGCCUUGUCCUCCAAGUCCCUCUAUUCCAGGUUGCAUCAAACGUUACCAGAAGUCUGCGAUCGUGCAGAGAGUCAGUGCGCCUUCAUUUUAGAGUACGCAACAUGGCCAUCCCCUGCGCACGAAUAGUUACAUCCUGCAGGCGUUGUUCUGGACUUGCCAAUUAUGCGUUCAGCGACUGAGAUACAGGCACGCAGGGCACUCGCAUUCCCAUUCCCUUCUUCUUUCAUCAAGAUCCAAAAAUUCUAAACUGAUUAAGGGAACAUUAAAAGACGCCUUAGAUAAAUUUCGUAUUCAUCAAUAAUCUUCUACAAACUGAGAAAGUUCUGACCAGGAACCUGAUCAACACGACGAUCUGUUCUAUUUAUAGUACUUACUGUAGUCUCCUGUGGUUCUGAUUCAUAUACCCUUACCAACCACCAGAAAUGAUGCCUUGACCAUUUUCAAUGUUACUCAUUAAGUGAAUUGAAAAAUUAUGAUGUUAAAAAGACGUUUAUAUAGUACAAAAAAUAUGCCUGCUUAAGAAGAACAGGAACCCUAAAUUACUGAGAGAGAACUAAUUUCCUCAGGUUCUUUAAUGAAGACUAUUACCUACCUAGGUAAUGCAGACCAAUUCUACAUCGAAAUAAUAUGACACCCUAAACAGUUAAGAACCUCUUUAUUGUAGCUAGGUACCUACUGGAAGUAAAGCUUUUAACUUUGAAAACUACUCCCAUUGAAACUUUUGAUAUGAAUCCUUGCUUUCACCUGAGAAAAUUUGUAGCAGCAUUUCUGGAAAAAGAGAAAGGAAAGAAAAUGUUGAAUUAUAACAAAUGAAUAACAUCAUCACUAAGUAAGAGCUUCUUUGAUACAUGCACUCUUUUUCAUAUUAAUUUUCCAUUCACUUGGAUCGAAUUCAGUAAGUAGAAGGUAACCAAAGUGAUUAUAGUUUUGUCGACAUUGUGCAACACUUCCUCUGGUUAGAAUAAAAUUAAUUGCAUGCACUUAUGAUAAAUUUUACGGAAAUUUUUUUUUCUUAAAUUGACAGUUCUUAGCAGAAAUACCAAAAUAAUUUGAGUUUUAAGGUAUUUUUAGAUAAAAUUCAAGUUGCACAAUUUUUACAACAUUGUAACUGCGUUGGUUCCCUCCUGCUUAAUUUGUUCCACUAGAAGUAAUGUCAUUUCUUACAAAGUAGGCAAACCGUAAUAAUAAGUUGCAUUUGGACGAUACUGUGCUAAAAAUGUUACCUAUCUCCAACAAACUCCAUAAUACUGUAAAGAGCAUUGUUUUGCUGGAUGGAGCGCAUUUAAUGGGAGAACAUGCACACCUGUUCUUAUAUAUUUAUAAAUUAGCCAAUUUUGUAUACCUGAUCAUAAUUCAUAUUUUACAUGAUAAAUAUUUUGAUACACGCGCCCAUUUUCUGGUAAUUAGCUACUGUCUGUUAUUAGAAACAAAAUAAAAUUUUGUUGAAUUUUGUUUACAAAAAUUGUUCUCAUUUAAACUCUCAUGGGUGGACGAUGAGAGAGUUUUAUGCGUCAAUACCCACC
rnacentral:lncRNA from 1 species